ACAAGGCGCAUGUUGAGGCUUCGAUAUGUGAGGCCUAUAUUGUUGAGGAGAUCUCAACAUUUAUCUCGUACUAUUUCGAACCUCAUCUGAGAACCAGAAUCAAUCGCGUUCCCUGACAUAAUGAUGGCGGUGAAGUGCCUUCCAGUGGGAACUUGUCAAUAUUCUUCAAUACUGGACGACCCACACCUAAAAAUGCUGUAAGAGGAAGAUAUUUGUCGAAAAUAGAAUUCAAACAAGCACACAACUAUGUUCUAUUUAACUGUGAUGAGCUGAGACCUUUUAUUCAGCAACAUCGACAAUAUUUGCUCUCCAACAACUCACAGCUGACCGAAUCCCAGAUCUUUCAAUUACAAGAUGAGCAGUUUGCCACGUGGUUCAGAACACAUAUGCGUAGAACGAAAACCAGAGUUGGUCGCUCACGUAUGGUCGCAGCUAGUUCAUCUAGCAGCGAUGAUGAUAUUUCCUUAGGUGCCUCUCAAGAAGAGGCACUUACACCACUUACACCGUCAACCGAUGCUGCCUCUUCCAGCGCUACUUCACAGUGCAGAGGCGGCAUGCCUUCACAGCGGAAUUAAUUUAACCGCCAGUACGAGGCACAGUGGAAGGAUGAUCUUUCAAUAUAAGUUUGUUAAGGUUUUAGUUUUUUAAAAACAAAUUACAACAUAAUUUAUGA